AUGUAGCUGCGUAAGGGAUGGUAGUGGCAUCCUUUUAAGUAGUCCCCAGGUUUUGGGGGCUACUUAAAAGAUAUAACGGACAGCCCGACCUGAA
rnacentral:sRNA from 1 species